rnacentral:rRNA from 1 species
CGGGUGAGUAACGCGUGGGUAACCUGCCUUAUACAGGGGGAUAACAGCAGAAAUGACUGCUAAUACCGCAUAAGCGCACAGAACCGCAUGGUCCGGUGUGAAAAACUCCGGUGGUAUAAGAUGGACCCGCGUUGGAUUAGCUAGUUGGCAGGGCAGCGGCCUACCAAGGCGACGAUCCAUAGCCGGCCUGAGAGGGUGAACGGCCACAUUGGGACUGAGACACGGCCCAG